AGUAACGCGUGGGUAACCUGCCUCAUACAGGGGGACAACAGUUAGAAAUGACUGCUAAUACCGCAUAAGCGCACAGUGCUGCAUGGCACAGUGUGAAAAACUCCGGUGGUAUGAGAUGGACCCGCGUCUGAUUAGCUAGUUGGUGGGGUAACGGCCUACCAAGGCGACGAUCAGUAGCCGACCUGAGAGGGUGACCGGCCACAUUGGGACUGAGACACGGCCCAA
rnacentral:rRNA from 1 species